UACGGAGGGAGCUAGCGUUGUUCGGAAUUACUGGGCGUAAAGCGCACGUAGGCGGCUUUGUAAGUUAGAGGUGAAAGCCGGGGGCUCAACUCCGGAACUGCCUUUAAGACUGCAUCGCUUGAAUCCAGGAGAGGUGAGUGGAAUUCCGAGUGUAGAGGUGAAAUUCGUAGAUAUUCGGAAGAACACCAGUGGCGAAGGCGGCUCACUGGACUGGUAUUGACGCUGAGGUGCGAAAGCGUGGGGAGCAAACAGG
rnacentral:rRNA from 1 species